GCCACGGUAGCUCAGUGGUAGAGCAGUGGACUGAAAAUCCACGUGUCGGCGGUUCAAUUCCACCCCGUGGCACCA
rnacentral:tRNA from 1 species